rnacentral:rRNA from 1 species
UACAGAGGGGGCAAGCGUUAUUCGGAAUUAUUGGGCGUAAAGGGCGCGUAGGCGGCCUGUUAAGUCGAACGUGAAAUCCCCGGGCUCAACCCGGGAACUGCGUCCGAUACUGGCAGGCUUGAAUCCGGGAGAGGGAUGCAGAAUUCCAGGUGUAGCGGUGAAAUGCGUAGAUAUCUGGAGGAAUACCGGUGGCGAAGGCGGCAUCCUGGACCGGCAUUGACGCUGAUGAGCGAAAGCGUGGGGAGCCAAACAGGG